CUCGGCUCUCGCAUCGAUGAAGAACGUAGCGAAAUGCGAUACUUGGUGUGAAUUGCAGAAUCCCGUGUUCCAUCGAGAAAAUCCCGUGAACCAUCGAGUCUUUGAACGCAAGUUGCGCCCGAAGCCGUCAGGCCGAGGGCACGUCUGCCUGGGCGUCACGCAUCGCGUCGCCCCCCCCCCCCUUCCCGCGACC
rnacentral:rRNA from 1 species